GCGUCGAGCGCGUCGACCGCGCCGUCGAGGCUCUCGACCUUGACCAGUUCCAGACCGUCCGGCCGUUCGGAGACGGCCUCCGCGCA
rnacentral:tRNA from 1 species